GUAAAAUCGUAAAGCGAGUCUGAAGUAAAUUUCAAUUUUUCUUUGUUCUGUGUUUGUUUAUCCCUACGACUUUGGGUUUUAUCUAGUCUAUGUUUGAAGAAUUUGAACUUGACGGAAUGAAUUUUGAAAUUUAGAUAAGGAUUAUAGUAAUAAAGCGAUGCAAUGAAUGAUAGUAAAAAAGUUUAAUUUCUUUCAACACCGAAUAUUUAUUUUCUAAUAGUAUAAGGGCCUAGAGUUCUGCAUGAUCAAUUUAGGAUGUUUUCUUCAAUUUUUUUCUAUUUAUAUAUCUAUGUUUGGUGCUAAUAUUUUUGAAAUUUCAAACUCUAUUUUCUCGGUUGAUUGGUUACCUGCUAGAUUGGUUACCAUGUGUGGACAGGGAACGGAGAAAUUAAUCAUCUGA
rnacentral:misc_RNA from 1 species